rnacentral:rRNA from 1 species
UACGUAGGGGGCGAGCGUUGUCCGGAUUUAUUGGGCGUAAAGAGCUCGUAGGCGGUUUGGUAAGUUGGAUGUGAAAUCUCCAGGCUCAACUUGGAGGGGUCAUUCGAUACUGCCAUGACUAGAGUUCGGUAGGGGAGUGUGGAAUUCCUGGUGGAGCGGUGAAAUGCGCAGAUAUCAGGAGGAACACCCGUAGCGAAGGCGGGUCUCUGGGCCGAUAUUGACGCUGAGGAGCGAAAGCGUGGGGAGCGAACAGG